GGAGAGGUUCUCAGAGAGGCCGAAUGAGGGCCGGACAUCAGUCCGGUCGGGUGCAAGCCCGCGCAGGUUCGAAUCCUGCCCUCUCCG
rnacentral:tRNA from 1 species